UUUUGUGGCUUGAAUUUUGAAUAUGUCAAGGAUCUGAAUUGUUACCCGAACCGAAAGUUUCACAAUCCAUUUGGGAUAAAAAGUGAGAAAUGUUAUGUUAGAGGAGGGCACGAGCUUGAUAGGGUUUGAGAGUAUUGUAAUAUGGACAAGUAUAAAUAUUGUAAUAUUCCACCAUUUGCGUUAGAAUUGUGAGAUAUUGGGGAACACACUUGAUUUUGCGGUAGAGUUAUGAGAUAUUCCGGAACACACUUGGAUUAGAGUUUGAGAGUUUUGAGUGA
rnacentral:misc_RNA from 1 species